rnacentral:rRNA from 1 species
UACGUAGGGUGCGAGCGUUGUCCGGAAUUAUUGGGCGUAAAGAGCUCGUAGGCGGUUUGUCGCGUCGACUGUGAAAACCCGAGGCUUAACCUCGGGCCUGCAGUCGAUACGGGCAGACUAGAGUUCGGUAGGGGAGACUGGAAUUCCUGGUGUAGCGGUGAAAUGCGCAGAUAUCAGGAGGAACACCGGUGGCGAAGGCGGGUCUCUGGGCCGAUAUUGACGCUGAGGAGCGAAAGCGUGGGGAGCGAACAGG